AUAUUUAAAUAUCUAAAUACAUAAUUUGUUCCAAUAUGCAUGUAACACAAAGUUUAAAACAUACAAUAACAUUCCACUUUACAUUUGUUUUCUUCUUACCCAUCAACGGACUCCAUGGAAGAAGUCACACUUGCUUUGAAUGGAGCCUACAAUGCACAUUCCUCCUAUUGGCUUCCAUUGCUAACAAGAACAUUUCUCCAAGAACCUUAAAUUGAGCUAUUAGAAAUGCAUCAAAGUGUAUUUCAUUUAUCUUCUCCACAACUUCAUGUUCCAUCCUGAUUGAAAAAUGUUACUGGGUAAGCUAUAAAAAAUACCAUAAAAUUUGUAAUGCAAGAUAAAAUUAAGGAAGGUAUACAAGAUCUCAUUGUUACAUACAUGCAAAAAUAACAGAGAAACAGAUUUAACCAAAGCAACAAACUAAGAUAUAUUUUUUUGCCAAUGAUCAAGACAAAUGCACAAGGCAAAAGGAUGUACACUCCCUCUCUGAGUGCAUUUCACGAAAAUGCCUUUCAUAAUCAUAGUUCUCCCAUUCUGUAUAUAUCAUUAUGUAGACUUGAAAUGCAGUGCCAUAUAAUUUGAAGGAAAGAGAAUAUAUUAAAGGUUAAGAGAUAGAUCUUUAAUCAAGUUCAUGUUUGAUUGCAUUGGAAAAAGAUAAAGAUUAUUUGAUUCCAUGAAGUUUAUAAGAUAAACCAUUUCAAAUCAUAUUUUUAACUCAUAAAUAAAUUCAUAGAAAUAAAUGGAUUCAAAUGCUUCAAAAGGAAAAUAAACCAAUCCUUCAAAAUAAAAUGACCAUGCAACAGAGUUUCAAGAAGGAAAUACAAAUUGUGUAAUGGAUAAAUCAACUAUGCUGUACCUUGAACUGAUGGUACAGUUGUGUCUAUAAAGAUCAAUGCUUUUUUAGACUUAGCAGCAACAAAAACUAUAUCAUGGAAUCAUUAGAAAGUAAUUGGAAAAAGUAUAUAAGACUAAUCCAAGUUAAUAGGUCUACAAUAUAUACCUUUCAACUGCUACAAUUCAUCAAUCAAGUUUGCUACAAAAUUUAAUAAGAAAAUGACAGUAAAAUAGAGAAAAACCAGCUUAAUGAACAGUAACUCAAGUGAUACUUAAGGUAGAGAAAAAUAGAGCAUUAACAACUAAAUCUAUCUAAACACCAAAUGAAUUCAUGAAAAUAAAUGCAAUCAAUUAAAAAAUAAUGAGUAAACAUGUAAAACUAAGAAUGUAAAGUAUGAGAGAAUCAAAUCGAACACCUAAAAGAAAAGAGGAUCAUCAUUCAUCAAGUUCUCAUGCAUGGAUCAUUUCUGCCUUCUGGAUUCAGCCUUAAUUUUAAAGAUUUAACUGUACUUUAUAGAUGGAAUUUAAGGUUGAAUUUUUUUCUGGAUUAUAGCCUCAUGAACUAGGAAUCUAGGAAAAAUUUUUUGAAGUAAAUCAAGGUAGAAUUCACUGAGUUUUUAUCAAAAGACUAAAGAUAGGUUAGGUGUACGAUUUUGAAACUAUAUUUGAGUUCAACAUGAAUUUUAUAGAAUUUGAAAAGGAAAUCAUGAGAAUUUGUAAAUUUCAUUAUGAAAAUCUUAAAGAACAUUAAAAAACAAGUGUAGUAAACCUAAAAUUGUAACAAGAUUUAGUUAAAAAAACUAAAAUUAAAAGCUGUUUGGUUGGAGAGGAAAUGAAAAUGAUAGCAGAUCAGGUUCUGACAAGAAAAAUAAAAGGUAAAAUAUCAGUUUGUGCUCUAAGUUGCACUAGGAAAGAUAUAUAUGAAGCAUAAACUUCUUAUAAGACAACUGAUUAGUCAUAAAAUAUGGCUUAAACAAGGUUCAGGAAAGUACGAACAGGCAUCAACAAAUAUCAUACAGAUAUUCAUGUGAAACCAUGGCCUCCCACCACAAAACCCCUAAGCUUCUAACAAAUUAUUAAAAGAAGUUCUUUUUGUUAUAGAAUACAAGAUUCAAGUACAUUCAAUUAUCAUGAAUUUAUACUUUUAUAUAGUUUUCUUGAUUCGAAAGAUUUUCUUUCAAAACAAUUACGUUUCUCACUUUCUCUCACACUCACCCAAACACAUUCAAUACAUUAAAUUGAACAUCAGGCAAAGAUUUCUAUAUUAAACCAGGAGAUAGAGCAGGAAUUAAGGUAAAGCAUUCACAUGUAGAUAUGAGAUAAGUGAGAGCAACCUUGUGCUGGAGUACUCAAAGCACUUUCUAGUGGUUGAAAAGACUAAAAGAGCUAUUUCAGCAUCGCAAAAAGUGAAAAAGUCAUGAGUUUUCUUGAAAAGUCCUCAUCUUCUUUUUGAGAAAGUUACCUACCCCAUUGCUACAUUGUCAAUCUUCUUGAUUUGAAUUUUCUUUCUCAUCAUUCUUUUUCAAGAAAAAAGCUAGGGAAAGAAAAAAUUACAGAGAAGAAAGAGAGGGUUUAAAUUUUGGGAAAAAAUUUUAAGUGCAUCAUUUUUUUCACGAUAGCAGUGUUUACUUAAAAAAAUGUCACUACUUACAAAAAAGAUUAUUGAAGGUGUUUCAGAUAAAAAAUGUCUUUAAUAAUCCUCUUAAAUUUUUUGAAAGGAUUAUUAAAAGCGUUUUCUGCAAAAAAACAUUUUCAAUAAUCCCCUUAAAUUUUGAUAAGAAGAUUAUUGACACCGAUAAACUUUUCAAUGAUCUUUUUUGGGUUUUAUAGUUUUAAGGUAUAUUUUAAAAUUUUUCGUGACUAGUUGAAUUUUUCAACCACCAAGCAUUUUGUAUUGUAGUUGAAAAUUACAACCUGUUGAAGUUUUCGACACCAAAAUCUAUAAGAACUUUAAAUUUUUUGAUGCCAUAUUCUCAUUGCCUUCAAAAAAAAGAGAGAAUUUUAGAAAGAUUGAGUUUGAUAAUAUGGGGAAAAGAGGAAAGAGAUUGAUGAAUUGAAAAAGUUGGCUGCUUUUUGCUAUUAAUGUUAAAUAUUGAUUACAUCAUUUAAGAGAUGCCCAACCUAUAACAACCCGUAUUUCAAUCCGAGUGACUUGAACCAUACGUAACCCAAGGUGUGUAAAAGCCAAUUAAGCUGUUAACCAAGCUGAACAAGCAAUUCAUCAGGUUCUUUUUUCUUUGUUAUUUUUUGUUAUUUAUUUAUUUUUAUGUAAUUUGCAAUUCUAAUUUUUAUACAUAUGUUUUAAUUAUUUGAUAAAAAUAAAAUUUUAAAAUUUUAGUUUCAUAAGAUUAAAUAAUGCUAAAUAUAAAUUUAUCAUAAUUUUAAAACAAGUAAAAAUUCAACCAAUGAUGAAAUUUCAAAAAAUUUAUAGGCAUGCAAUUUUUCUUGAAAAUUUUUACAUAAGAACCUUUUUAAAUUCUACCAAAAUGAUAGAAAAAAUAAACAAUUAUUUCAAUAUCAAGUAUUUUCAUUUAUUUUAAAAAUAUAUACGAAAAAAUUUAAAUUAAUAGAAAAUUAAUUAGUAAAAUAGAAAAGGAUGAAAGAGUUAAAAAUGUAAUAGAUAAUUGUAAAUAUAUUUUUACCACGUAAUACUUGAUAAAUUUUCAAAUAAAUGGGGAAUUUGACUAAUGAUGGAAUACAAAAAAAUUCAUAAACUUGUAACUUUUUAGAAAUUUCAAGGCAAAAAAACUUUUCUAAAUUCCACCAAAUCGUUGGGGUAUUUAAAAAUUAUAUUUUAUUCCUAAAAUAACAUAAUAAAAGAGAAAAAUAUUAAUAUUAAUUUAAAAUUUUUUAAAAAUAAUAAAAUAAUUAUUUUUAAAAAUGUUUGAUAAAUUCAAUGAUGAAGUUUCUUCAAGAAAACAAGAAUGUUUUCUUGAAUACUCUUAUAGUGAAAAUUUUUUUUUAAGGAUUUAACCAAAGUAUUAGAAAAAACCUAGGAAAAUUUUCUAAUAUUUAAAUAAUAAAAUAAUAAGAAAAAAGUAAUGAAAAAUGUUAAUUAUAGAUAUUAUUUUAACUAAGGCUAUUAAAGAUAAUAUAAAACUAAUUUUGCUGAUAUAAUGAUUUCUAAAAAGAUAAUAGAAAAUGCAAUUACUAACAGUGGAAACUUGAAAAAGAUGAUGUAAAAAAAAAGUAGUAUGCCUAAAAAGAAAGAGAUGCUCAAUCAGUGAUUUAUGAACGGUAACAGGAAUGCUCUACACCAUUCUUAUCAAAUGAACCGAUUUUACUAUCUAAUCAUACAUAACAUCUUUCAAAGUCCUUAUCUUUUUCGACCAAACCCAUGAUUAACCUUUCAAGCAAACCCUUGCCUUCAAACAAUUGCACUUACUCUCAUCUCUUAAUGUACCAUCCAACCAAUGAGUAACCAAAGAUGACCAAGAAUCAGUCAAGAAAAAUUUUCAAUACCAUUUCUUGAUUUUUUGCAUUUACUAGUAACACAUCAAUACCUCACCCUAUAUCUUUAAAAAUAACUCUAAAUCAAUCAGAGAGAAGCUAUAAGCCAAAUAAUAAAUGUAAUUAUCACAUGAGAUUAAUUGAACACUCAACAAAAAAAAUACCACCAAUUGAGAGAAAAUAUUUAAGCACAUAUCAAUAGUUGCAACUUGACUCAAGGAACUUAUAGAACAAUGGACAAUUUGCUUUGAUGUAGAUUGAAUUUCCAUUAUGAGAUUUGAAGGUGUGAAUUGUCCAAUUUGUAGGAAAAAGUCCAUAAUUUUGUUUGCAAUUGUUCAAAUAUAAAUUCCUACAUAAGUUAUUUUCCAAAUGAAUUCUAAGCCUAAAGCCUCCAAAUUUUCAUUCAACACACCUCAAGCAAUUUUCUUGUCCUCAAUUCUAAAUCUUCAAAAAUUUUUCUUAAAAUCUAGAGGAAAUCUCACCAUUUCUCCCAUUUUGAAACCCAAAACACCUCCCUUAUCCAUCCAUAACCACCAGAGUAGCCUAAAACCUCGGUCAAAGCUUCUAACUUAUUCCAAAUCUUGGUCUAACUUUUAGUGAAGAUCUUAAAGAACCUAAUCUAUCAUAGUUUAUUGAUCGACAUACCUUACAGUCACUCACCACAUCACCUUGCCUUGUCACCUAAAUCCACAUCACUCACCAUGUCACUUGGCACAUCAUCUAAUCACAUCAUCUCAGCCAUAUCAUUUUUCCAAAUCCAGCCAAAACUUUGUCUAAGCAAAGUCCAGCCAAAACUUUGUCAAAACAAUCCAAUCAAAUCAAAACUCCAGUCAAAAAGUCUUAGUCAAACCAAAAAUCAACAUUAAAAGUUACUCUUUCAUCAAAACUCUCUAAAGAGUCCCAACACCAAAACACUAUUUGAAGAGUCUUUGUUAGACUAAAAUUCUUUUAAAGGGCUCGAUCUAGCUAAAGCUCGAUUUCAUGAUCCAAAAAGAUUUAGUCAAAAUGAAGCACAGCUACAUUUAACCUAGCUCACAAGCCUAAACCUAUGGUUGUCUUAUUAGAUCCUGCAUCAAGAUGAUCUUGUAACGUCCCUAAUCCCAUAUUGAAAAAAUGUGUUGAUAUGAUUUGAUAUAUAAGUUGAGACUUAAACCUUAACUUGUGAAGCGCAUUUUGUGAAAUAAAACCAUGAGCUCUUCAGAUCAAAGUGGACAAUACCUCACAGGUUAGGUGCGGAUCUCUACAAAUGAUAUCAGAGCGAUCACCAGUCGUCGAGAAUUAAGUGCUACAUCAUGAGUCACUAAAUGCUAUACGAUGGGACCAUGGGAAUAUAUGUGCUACAUUAUGGGAGUCACUAAUUAUCACACGAUAGUCUUGUGGUUGAACUCAACUUGACAAGGAUGUCAAGCUUUAAAGGUAGAGAGAUUGUAACAUUCCCAAUCUCAUAUUGGAAAAAUAUGUGGAUAUGACUUGAUAUAUAAGUUGAGACUUAAACCUAAACUUGUGAAGCCCCUUCUGUGGGACAAAAUCUUGAAGACUUCAAGUUAAAACAAACAAUACCUUACAAUUGGGUGCGAGUCUUCGCAAACCUACUCAAGUAUAAUCCCAAAAAUCUUUAGACAUCUUACUCCUCUCAUUAAAUUAUGCACAAGUGACAUAUCCUACAUGAUUAAAUAUCAUGUAGUCAUAGGAAUGUGUAACAUACGCCAUUUAGUUAUAAUUAGGAUUUAUUUUCUUGUUAAAGGUGGUGAAAAUUUUGCAAUGUAAAUUAUUGUGUAGCAAGUAAUAUAAAAUCUUAUCAUAUAGAUUAGGUAUCAAACUGAAAUGUCUUAAAUAUGUUCUCAAGGCAGCUUAGUGAACUAUUAUUAUCUAAGUAUGUCAUUUAUACAAGAUCACAUUACAUGUUUCUUUGAUAACUCUUUGUUGACUUUGUAAUACAAUGGAAUGAACUACUUGAUUUAAUACAAUUGUUUAACAAACACAUUGUUUGCAUCAUCUAAUGAUUGAUAAAGAACUCAAGGUUGUCAACCCAUAGGUAUUUUUCUAGAUGCAUGCGUGACAAUACAGAACUUAUAAAUUGUUUAUACAAAUUACUUAUCAUCAAGAAUAAAAAGGAAAGGCUUACUCUUUAAUCUAUAAGCAAGUCAGGAUGUUGGUUUGAAAUGGAUAAGUAAAGGCUAGGCUUAUCCCUAACAAGGUUUAAAGCAUUUAUUCCUCUUAUAUCCUAUUUACUAUUUUUUAAUUAAGUUUUUUGAUUAAAACAACCGUGACCUUGAAAUCAGUAUUGAUUCUUGAAAUAUAAAUAAAUCGAUUGACAACUCAUAAUCAAAUUUUACUUUUCAACAUUAAGAAGUGUGCUAAAAGUGAAACCCGCAUUGCUCACACCUUUGUUUAAAGAAGCAUUUGAAAAAACAAAAAAUUAAAUAAAAUUUUAAAGUUCUUUAGACAAACCAAAGCUCAAUAUAAUAAUUGUCUAUAUGUCUUAACACAAUUUCUGUUUCAUAAAAAAUGUGCAACGAUAGACAAUUGUAGAUACAAUAAUUGAUCCAAUGAUGAAAUUUCAAAAAAUUCAAAAGUGUGCAAUUUUCUAAAAAAUUUCUAAGUAAGAACUUUUCUAAAUUUCAUUGAAUUGUUGGAGAAUUUAGAAUAUUAUUUCAAUAUUAAUAAUUUUCAUUUAUUUCUAUAAAUAAAAUUGAAAAAAUUAAAAUGAUAGAAAAGUAAUCAACAAACUAAUUUUAAUUUAUUUCUAAAAAUAAAAAUGAAAAAAAUUAAAUUGAUAGAAAAUUAAUUGAUAAAAUAAAAAAUGGAUAAAAGAGUUAAGAAUGUAAUAGAUUGUAAAUGUAUUUUAUCACAUAAUGCUUAAUAAAUUUUGGAAUAAGUGGGGAAUUUGACUAAUUAUGAAAUUUUAAGAAAUUUGUGUGCGUGAAAUUUUCCUAAAAUUUUCUAUGUGAAUAAACAAUUUAAAAAAUUAGAAUAUCAAAGAUUUCCACUUUAUUUCCAAAAUAACAAAAUUAAAAUGUUUUAAAAAUAAAAAAUAAAUUAUUUUUGUAAAAUAUUUAAUUACUCUAAUGAUUAAGCCUCUUGAAAGAAACGAAUGUAUUUUCUUGAAAAUUAUUGAAGUGAAAAAAUUAUUUAAAGGUUCAAUCAACGUGUUAGAGAAAACAUAAGAAAACUUUUUAUAUUUAAAUAAUAAAUAAAGUAAUGAGAAAUAUUAAGAAAAAAGACCAAUUUAAUUAAGGCUAUUAAAGAUAAUAUAAGAUUGAUUGAUAUCAUCCUUUGAAUGGUCAUCGUUAGAAUGUUAAUACCAUCCCUAUAAACUUAAUUCUGUAAUAUAAAUCAAAGCUUAUUCUUUUAAGAUUUCUUAGUUAAACUUAAAAUCAUUUUAAAAGAAUAAAUUUAUUUAAGUAACUAAUUACACCUAAUCAAAAAAUUCUUGAUAAUUACUUUAUUGAUAUUUAAUGGUCAAACUCACAUACUCACACAUUAUAACAAAUAUAAUCAUCAUUGGUUUAAUAAUUAUAAUAAGGCUUACUAAUAGAAAAGAGAAUUUCUCAAUAUAGAUGGGAAAAGUGAUUAUUCUGAUCUUUAAUGAUUUUGAAGCAAGAAAACUUGGAUCUCAUGAAUCACAUUGGGGUCGAUAGUUAUCGUUUCUCCAUUUCAUGGGUAAAAAUUUUGUCCAAUGAGUUUUAUUUCUUCAAAAUAAAUGUGUUUGAUAUGAUUCUCAUGCUAAUUUUUUACGCUCAAAAUUAAUUUAUCCAAAAUGAAGAGAUUUGGAAGUGUUAAUAUGGUUAGCAUCAAUUUUUAUAAUAAGCUCAUAAAUACUCUUCUCCUUAAAGGUCACUCUCUAGUAGUCUAGUUCUCCAACCUUAAAAGGAUAUAAGGGACAAAACUAAUCAUCAAUUCCAUGACUCGAAUACUAAUGUUAGCAAAAUGAUUUUAAUUUCUUCUGUCCCACAAAUCCAACCCUUCGGUCAUUGGCUCAUUGUGAAUUCUAUAUAAAAACAUAUAGCAAACUAAAGUAAAAUUCUUCAAUUCAAAUUGAGAAGAACCAAAAAGAAAGAGAGAAGAAGAACCUGAUGAAGAAGAAAAAUAGCUUUUCGAACAAAAGAAAUUUUGCCGUUAACUCCUAAAUUUCUUGCUACACGAGUUAAGUCCGAAAACUUAGAAGAUUAUAUUCCAAUAGCUCUUCUUCUGGUAGCAAUGAUACCUGAUGUAUACUAAAAAUUUAAACGUAAUAGUCAGAGAUAAGUAUUCAAAGCAUAAAGCAAAAUAUAUGUUCAGCAAUCAUUACAAAAUAAAUCAGUAACAAGAACCUGAUGAGGAGGAAAAAAGCUUCUCACACAAAAAAAAUUCUGUCGUUAACUCCUAAAUCUCCUGCUAUAAUGAACCCUAAAACUCUUUCGAGUUAAAGUUCGAAACUCAAAAGAUUGUAUUGCCAACAGCUCUUCUUUGUUGCAAUAAUACCUGAUAUAAAUUAGAAAUUUUAACGAAAUAGUCAAAGACAGGUACAUAAAAAAUGAAGCAAAAUAAAAGUUUAGUAGGCUUACAAAAUAAAGCAGUAACAAGAACCUGAUGAUAAGGAAACAGGAACUUUUCACAUAAAGGAAAUUCUGCUGUUAACUCCUAAAUCUCUUGCCAUAAUGGACCCUAAAACUUUUCCAAGCUCAUUCCUAAAACUCAGAAGAUCGUAUUGCCAACAGCUCUUCUACUGGUUGUAAUAAUACCUAAUAUAAAC
rnacentral:lncRNA from 1 species